UAGGGAAUCUUCGGCAAUGGACGAAAGUCUGACCGAGCAACGCCGCGUGAGUGAAGAAGGUUUUCGGAUCGUAAAACUCUGUUGUUAGAGAAGAACAAGGACGUUAGUAACUGAACGUCCCCUGACGGUAUCUAACCAGAAAGCCACGGCUAACUACGUGCCAGCAGCCGCGGUAAUACGUAGGUGGCAAGCGUUGUCCGGAUUUAUUGGGCGUAAAGCGAGCGCAGGCGGUUUCUUAAGUCUGAUGUGAAAGCCCCCGGCUCAACCGGGGAGGGUCAUUGGAAACUGGGAGACUUGAGUGCAGAAGAGGGGAGGGGAAUUCCAUGUGUAGCGGUGAAAUGCGUAGAUAUAUGGAGGAACACCAGUGGCGAAGGCGGCUCUCUGGUCUGUAACUGACGCUGAGGCUCGAAAGCGUGGGGAGCAAACAGG
rnacentral:rRNA from 1 species